CCUACGGGGGGCUGCAGUGGGGAAUAUUGGACAAUGGGGGGAACCCUGAUCCAGCCAUGCCGCGUGUGUGAAGAAGGCCCUCGGGUUGUAAAGCACUUUCAGUGAGGAAGAACGCCUGGUGGUUAAUACCCAUCAGGAAAGACAUCACUCACAGAAGAAGCACCGGCUAACUCCGUGCCAGCAGCCGCGGUAAUACGGAGGGUGCGAGCGUUAAUCGGAAUUACUGGGCGUAAAGCGCGCGUAGGUGGCUUGAUAAGCCGGUUGUGAAAGCCCCGGGCUCAACCUGGGAACGGCAUCCGGAACUGUCAAGCUAGAGUGCAGGAGAGGAAGGUAGAAUUCCCGGUGUAGCGGUGAAAUGCGUAGAGAUCGGGAGGAAUACCAGUGGCGAAGGCGGCCUUCUGGACUGACACCGACACUGAGGUGCGAAAGCGUGGGUAGCAAACAGGAUUAGAUACCCCAGUAGUC
rnacentral:rRNA from 1 species